rnacentral:rRNA from 1 species
GCGGAGGAAAAGAAACUAACCAGGAUUGUCUCAGUAAGGGCGACUGAAGUGACAAUAGCUCACCAUGUGAAUCGGCGUCAGCUGAAUUGUGGUCUCGCUUGCAUUAUGGGAUGGGCUAAGUCCGUUGGAAGACGGCAGCUUAGAGGGUGAGACUCCCGUAUGCCCAUCCUUUGGAGCAAGUGUUUGGGAGUCGAGUUGUUUGGGAUUGCAGCUCUAAGUGGGUGGUAAAUUCCAUCCAAAGCUAAAUACUGGUGGGAGACCGAUAGUGCAAAAGUACCGUGAGGGAAAGAUGCAAAGAAGCGCGAAAGCGCUGUUAAAGAGUACCUGAACUUGCUGAAACGGAAGUGAAGGAAACCAGUGUCAGCUGCGCCAUACUUCCUUGCCUGCUUGCGGGUGAGGCGCUGUGGCCAGUGUUGUGCUGCUUGGUGGGAGUGUGCAGAAAAGCUCUGGGGUUGUUGACCUGUGCUGA